CACGUAGUUAGCCGGAGCUUCCUCCUCUGCUACCGUCAUCAUCUUCACAGAGGACAGAGGUUUACAAUCCGAAGACCGUCUUCCCUCACGCGGCGUUGCUGGUUCAGGGUUUCCCCCAUUGACCAAUAUCCCUUACUGCUGCCUCCCGUAGGAGUCUGGGCCGUGUCUCAGUCCCAAUGUGGCCGUCCAACCUCUCAGUCCGGCUACCGAUCGUCGGCUUGGUGGGCCGUUACCCCACCAACUGCCUAAUCGGACGCGAGCCCAUCUUUCAGCGGAUUGCUCCUUUGAUUAUCCUACCAUGCGAUAAGAUAAUGUCAUGCGGUAUUAGCGUUCGUUUCCAAACGUUAUCCCCCUCUGAAAGGCAGGUUGCUCACGCGUUACUCACCCGUCCGCCACUAAGAUAUCCAAGAUUCAUUACCGAAGUACUUCAUCAGCGAAUAUCUCCGUUGACUUGCAUGUAUUAGGCACGCCGCAGCGUUCGUCUCGUGCCAGACGUCAAACU
rnacentral:rRNA from 1 species